UUAGCGGCGGACGGGUGAGUAACGCGUGGGUAACCUGCCUCAUACAGGGGGAUAACAGUUGGAAACGGCUGCUAAUACCGCAUAAGCGCACAGUACCGCAUGGUACGGUGUGAAAAACUCCGGUGGUAUGAGAUGGACCCGCGUCUGAUAGGUAGUUGGUGGGGUAACGGCCUACCAAGCCGACGAUCAGUAGCCGACCUGAGAGGGUGACCGGCCACAUUGGGACUGAGACACGGCCCAAACUCCUACGGGAGGCAGCAUG
rnacentral:rRNA from 1 species